rnacentral:rRNA from 1 species
CCUGAUCCAGCAAUGCCGCGUGCAGGAUGAAGGCCUUCGGGUUGUAAACUGCUUUUGUACGGAGCGAAAAGGCUUCUUCUAAUACAGGAGGCUCAUGACGGUACCGUAAGAAUAAGCACCGGCUAACUACGUGCCAGCAGCCGCGGUAAUACGUAGGGUGCAAGCGUUAAUCGGAAUUACUGGGCGUAAAGCGUGCGCAGGCGGUGAUGUAAGACAGUGGUGAAAUCCCCGGGCUCAACCUGGGAACUGCCAUUGUGACUGCAUCGCUAGAGUACGGUAGAGGGGGGUGGAAUUCCGCGUGUAGCAGUGAAAUGCGUAGAUAU